rnacentral:rRNA from 1 species
ACGCUCGACACCUACGGGACAGCAGUGGGGAAUAUUGCACAAUGGGGGAAACCCGUGAUGCAGCAACGCCGCGUGAAGGAAGACGGUUUUCGGAUUGUAAACUUCUGUUCUUAGUGAAGAUAGUGACGGUAGCUAAGGAGCAAGCCACGGCUAACUACGUGCCAGCAGCCGCGGUAAUCUGAGCGGGCUGGCAAGGC